GCGAUCUCCCGGCUUGUUGUCUCCGCGGCCGCCGCCGCUUCUGGCCUCCCAGGAAGGCACCUUCCCGCGGCCGGAGCUGGGCCCUGCCGGCCCCGUGCUGACAGCCCCCAAGGCCACGGCUGUCCCUUCCUUUCCCUUCCCGGGGCUUUUUGUUUCUUAAACCAGCCCCAUUUAUCACUUCCAACCUGCCUAUCGCCUGACACCAACUGUUCCAAGUUCUGUGGUAACUGCUUCCCUGAACUUCUAGAUCGAAACCGCUCCUCCCAGGAGCCUAUUUAAGAAGCAGAAUUAAGAAUAAAUGCCUGGAUGCCCGUGGAGGCACUGAGCCCUAGAGUUUUCAAAGCACCACCAUGCCCUGUUGCUGAGGAACUUUCUCCAACAUCCCCCUCAGUCUCUGCACAUACUGUGCCACUUUUCCAGCCCUUCCAACUGCCAUAAAAUUUGGAAAAGAUAGAAAAGAUGAAGAAACUAAACCACUAAGAAAAAAAUCUACCACUAAGAAAAAACCCACACUUGGGACUUCCCUGGUGGCACAGUGGUUAAGAAUCUGCCUGCCAAUACAGGGGACACGGGUUCAAGCCCUGGUCCGGGAAGAUCCCACAUGCCAUGGAGCAACUAAGCCCGUGCACCACAACUACUGAGCCUGUGUGCCACAACUACUGAAGCCCAUGUGCUCUAGGGCCCACGUGCCACAACUGCUGAGCCCAAGUGCUGCAACUACUGAAGCCCAUGCACCUAGAACCCCUGCUCUGCAACAAGAGAAGCCACCACAAUGAGAAGCCUGCACACCGAC